rnacentral:rRNA from 1 species
GGUUAAGCGACUAAGCGUACACGGUGGAUGCCCUGGCAGUCAGAGGCGAUGAAGGACGUGCUAAUCUGCGAAAAGCGCCGGCGAGGUGAUAUGAACCUUUGACCCGGCGAUGUCCGAAUGGGGAAACCCAGUGUGAUUCGUCACACUAUCGUUAACUGAAUACAUAGGUUAACGAGGCGAACCGGGGGAACUGAAACAUCUAAGUACCCCGAGGAAAAGAAAUCAACCGAGAUUCCCCCAGUAGCGGCGAGCGAACGGGGAGCAGCCCAGAGUCUGAAUCAGCUUGUGUGUUAGUGGAACGGUCUGGAAAGUCCGGCGAUACAGGGUGAUAGCCCCGUACACGAAAGCACACAGGCUGUGAACUCGAAGAGUAGGGCGGGACACGUGGUAUCCUGUCUGAAUAUGGGGGGACCAUCCUCCAAGGCUAAAUACUCCUGACUGACCGAUAGUGAACCAGUACCGUGAGGGAAAGGCGAAAAGAACCCCGGCGAGGGGAGUGAAAAAGAACCUGAAACCGUGUACGUACAAGCAGUGGGAGCACCUUCGUGGUGUGACUGCGUACCUUUUGUAUAAUGGGUCAGCGACUUAUAUUCUGUAGCAAGGUUAACCGUAUAGGGGAGCCGAAGGGAAACCGAGUCUUAACUGGGCGUUAAGUUGCAGGGUAUAGACCCGAAACCCGGUGAUCUAGCCAUGGGCAGGUUGAAGGUUGGGUAACACUAACUGGAGGACCGAACCGACUAAUGUUGAAAAAUUAGCGGAUGACUUGUGGCUGGGGGUGAAAGGCCAAUCAAACCGGGAGAUAGCUGGUUCUCCCCGAAAGCUAUUUAGGUAGCGCCUCGUGAACUCAUCUUCGGGGGUAGAGCACUGUUUCGGCUAGGGGGCCAUCCCGGCUUACCAACCCGAUGCAAACUACGAAUACCGAAGAAUGUUAUCACGGGAGACACACGGCGGGUGCUAACGUCCGUCGUGAAGAGGGAAACAACCCAGACCGCCAGCUAAGGUCCCAAAGUCAUGGUUAAGUGGGAAACGAUGUGGGAAGGCACAGACAGCCAGGAUGUUGGCUUAGAAGCAGCCAUCAUUUAAAGAAAGCGUAAUAGCUCACUGGUCGAGUCGGCCUGCGCGGAAGAUGUAACGGGGCUAAACCAUGCACCGAAGCUGCGGCAGCGACGCUUAGGCGUUGUUGGGUAGGGGAGCGUUCUGUAAGCCGUUGAAGGUGGCCUGUGAGGGUUGCUGGAGGUAUCAGAAGUGCGAAUGCUGACAUAAGUAACGAUAAAGCGGGUGAAAAGCCCGCUCGCCGGAAGACCAAGGGUUCCUGUCCAACGUUAAUCGGGGCAGGGUGAGUCGACCCCUAAGGCGAGGCCGAAAGGCGUAGUCGAUGGGAAACAGGUUAAUAUUCCUGUACUUGGUGUUACUGCGAAGGGGGGACGGAGAAGGCUAUGUUAGCCGGGCGACGGUUGUCCCGGUUUAAGCAUGUAGGCGGAACGAUUAGGUAAAUCCGGUCGUUUUUUAACGCUGAGGUGUGAUGACGAGGCACUACGGUGCUGAAGUAACAAAUGCCCUGCUUCCAGGAAAAGCCUCUAAGCAUCAGGUAACAUCAAAUCGUACCCCAAACCGACACAGGUGGUCAGGUAGAGAAUACCAAGGCGCUUGAGAGAACUCGGGUGAAGGAACUAGGCAAAAUGGUGCCGUAACUUCGGGAGAAGGCACGCUGAUAUGUAGGUGAAGCCCCUGCGGGUGGAGCUGAAAUCAGUCGAAGAUACCAGCUGGCUGCAACUGUUUAUUAAAAACACAGCACUGUGCAAACACGAAAGUGGACGUAUACGGUGUGACGCCUGCCCGGUGCCGGAAGGUUAAUUGAUGGGGUUAGCGGCAACGCGAAGCUCUUGAUCGAAGCCCCGGUAAACGGCGGCCGUAACUAUAACGGUCCUAAGGUAGCGAAAUUCCUUGUCGGGUAAGUUCCGACCUGCACGAAUGGCGUAAUGAUGGCCAGGCUGUCUCCACCCGAGACUCAGUGAAAUUGAACUCGCUGUGAAGAUGCAGUGUACCCGCGGCAAGACGGAAAGACCCCGUGAACCUUUACUAUAGCUUGACACUGAACACUGGUCCUUGAUGUGUAGGAUAGGUGGGAGGCUUUGAAGCGUGGACGCCAGUCUGCGUGGAGCCAUCCUUGAAAUACCACCCUUUAAUGGCUGGUGUUCUAACGUAGACCCGUAAUCCGGGUUGCGGACAGUGUCUGGUGGGUAGUUUGACUGGGGCGGUCUCCUCCCAAAGAGUAACGGAGGAGCACGAAGGUUAGCUAAUCCUGGUCGGACAUCAGGAGGUUAGUGCAAUGGCAUAAGCUAGCUUGACUGCGAGAGUGACGGCUCGAGCAGGUGCGAAAGCAGGUCAUAGUGAUCCGGUGGUUCUGAAUGGAAGGGCCAUCGCUCAACGGAUAAAAGGUACUCCGGGGAUAACAGGCUGAUACCGCCCAAGAGUUCAUAUCGACGGCGGUGUUUGGCACCUCGAUGUCGGCUCAUCACAUCCUGGGGCUGAAGUAGGUCCCAAGGGUAUGGCUGUUCGCCAUUUAAAGUGGUACGCGAGCUGGGUUUAGAACGUCGUGAGACAGUUCGGUCCCUAUCUGCCGUGGGCGCUGGAGAAUUGAGGGGGGCUGCUCCUAGUACGAGAGGACCGGAGUGGACGCAUCACUGGUGUUCGGGUUGUCAUGCCAAUGGCACUGCCCGGUAGCUAAAUGCGGAAAAGAUAAGUGCUGAAAGCAUCUAAGCACGAAACUUGCCCCGAGAUGAGUUCUCCCUGAGACUUUAAGUCUCCUGAAGGAACGUUAAAGACUAUGACGUUGAUAGGUCGGGUGUGUAAGCGCAGCGAUGCGUUGAGCUAACCGAUACUAAUGAACCGUGAGGCUUAACCUU